rnacentral:rRNA from 1 species
AUUGAACGCUGGCGGCAUGCUUUACACAUGCAAGUCGAACGGUAACAGGCCUUCGGGUGCUGACGAGUGGCGAACGGGUGAGUAAUGCAUCGGAACGUACCCAGAGGUGGGGGAUAACGCGGCGAAAGCUGUGCUAAUACCGCAUGUGAUCUGAGGAUGAAAGCGGGGGACCGAGCAGCAAUGUUUGGCCUCGCGCCUUUGGAGCGGCCGAUGUCGGAUUAGCUAGUUGGUGGGGUAAAGGCCUACCAAGGCGACGAUCCGUAGCUGGUCUGAGAGGACGACCAGCCACACUGGGACUGAGACACGGCCCAGACUCCUACGGGAGGCAGCAGUGGGGAAUUUUGGACAAUGGGCGCAAGCCUGAUCCAGCAAUGCCGCGUGCGGGAAGAAGGCCUUCGGGUUGUAAACCGCUUUUGGCAGGAACGAAACGGUGUCCGCUAAUACCGGGCGCUAAUGACGGUACCUGCAGAAUAAGCACCGGAUAACUACGUG